UGGUGGAGUGAUUUGUCUGGUUAAUUCCGUUAACGAACGAGACCUCAGCCUGCUAAAUAGUUACGUGAACAUUCGUGUUCGCGGCCAACUUCUUAGAGGGACUAUCGGCGUAUAGCCGGCUGGAAGUUUGAGGCAAUAACA
rnacentral:rRNA from 1 species